GACGAACGCUGGCGGCGCGCCUAACACAUGCAAGUCGAACGAGCGAGAGGAGGUUUACUCUCUCAAGCGAGUGGCGAACGGGUGAGUAACGCGUGAGGAACCUGCCUCAAAGAGGGGGACAACAGUUGGAAACGACUGCUAAUACCGCAUAAGCCCACGACCCGGCAUCGGGUAGAGGGAAAAGGAGCAAUCCGCUUUGAGAUGGCCUCGCGUCCGAUUAGCUAGUUGGUGAGGUAAUGGCCCACCAAGGCGACGAUCGGUAGCCGGACUGAGAGGUUGAACGGCCACAUUGGGACUGAGACACGGCCCAGACUCCUACGGGAGGCAGCAGUGGGGAAUAUUGUACAAUGGGGGAAACCCUGAUGCAGCGACGCCGCGUGGAGGAAGAAGGUCUUCGGAUUGUAAACUCCUGUUGUUGAGGAAGAUAAUGACGGUACUCAACAAGGAAGUGACGGCUAACUACGUG
rnacentral:rRNA from 1 species